UACGGAGGGGGCUAGCGUUAUUCGGAAUUAUUGGGCGUAAAGGGCGUGUAGGCGGCUUCGUGUGUCCCAUGUGAAAGCCCUCGGCUCAACCGGGGAACUGCAUGGGAAACUGCGGAGCUUGAGUCCGGGAGAGGUGAGUGGAAUUCCCAGUGUAGCGGUGAAAUGCGUAGAUAUUGGGAGGAACACCGGUGGCGAAGGCGGCUCACUGGACCGGUACUGACGCUGAGACGCGAAAGCGUGGGGAGCGAACAGG
rnacentral:rRNA from 1 species